CUCCAGGCCCUCAUCCGCCCCUCCUCCCCAAACGAAAUGCUAUAUUUGCAGAAAGGUCCCAAUCCAAGUCCAACAACCGAAAAGAAGACGACACUCGGAGGGCUUUCCUGUAAGUUUCGAGGGCGGCGAAGCACUAGGGCAUCCACCUCGGCGGUGGCGGCGGCGGCCUCCAUGUCGGGCAGCAACGGGAACGGCGGCGGCGCCUCCUCCGCGCUCUAUGGCUUAUACGGUCCCAACGUGAAACCUGAUGUUGUUUUUAAGGAGGCUGCUUUAAACUCUACACUAAACCUGCAGGAUGUUCAGGGUCUAGUUACUUGGGUUAUUGGUGACGGCAUGCUGCCUUCUUGGGUGUUUGUUAAGAACAAACCUCUUAUACCCAAAGUCGUCCUACUAUAUGUUCCUGGCCUUGAUGCAGCUUUAUAUAUGUCACAAACUCGACUUCUCUCUUCUCUGAAAGAAUUAUGUGGCAAUCCAAAACCUGUUCUAGCUUCAAGCAGCUGUAUACCGGAUGAUAGGCACACAAUUGAUGCACUCCUAACCUGCAGAGUAAAGAGAAAGCUUGAUGUAAAAACAUCAAAUCAGUCAUCUAAACCUGACAGGGAUGGAAAACUAUCAAGUCUGGAUGAUCUUGGGGACAUACCAUUUCCUGUUACGUAUUACACACUUUCAGAGAAAGACUUGGAAGAUAAUGGCUACCCCUUCAAUUUACCAGGUUUUGUCCCUACUGUUUCAGCUCCUUCAGGUUCCUUGCCACAUAAAGUUCUUGCACUUGAUUGUGAAAUGUGCAUAACAGAAGCUGGAUUUGAGCUUACAAGAGUGACAUUAAUUGACAUUAAAGGAUCGGUGGUGCUAGAUAGACUAGUUAAGCCUGCUAAUCCAAUCAUUGAUUACAAUACAAGGUUCAGUGGAAUCACUGCUGAGAUGUUGGCUGACGUGUCCACAUCCCUGCAUGAAAUUCAGGAAGAGUUUGUUGGACUUGUAUAUACAGAAACAAUUCUUGUUGGUCAUUCUUUGGAAAAUGACCUUAUGGCAUUGCAGAUAUCCCAUGGUUUAAUCAUCGACACAGCUGUUUUGUACAAGUAUAAUCGAGGAUCUCGCUGUAAGAUUGCUUUGCGUGUCUUGACAAAAAGAUUUCUCGGCCGGGAGAUCCAGAACACAGGAUCUGGGCAUGACAGUGUGGAAGAUGCUAGAGCUGCUCUAGAACUUGCUAUAUUGAAAAUAAGACAUGGUAAGAACUAAGAAGGCAUUUUUGCUAUCACUUUUGUUUGGCUAACAUCCAUUUCUGUAAAUAGCUAAUGUGGAUAGGGAGACAACAUGGCAUAAGCAUAUCAUUUUGUUGGUACUUUCUACUAACUUGUUAACCAGGUCCUGAUUUUGGUUCCCAACCAUCGUUGUCAAGGCGGAAAUUGACAUCUAUACUGCAUGAGAGUGGGAAAAAAUGCUCCCUUAUUGAUGACAUGUCUAUUCUAGAUCGAUAUUCAGAUACUUCUUGCAAUUCAAUUGCUGUCUUUUCUGAUGAUGAUGCCCUCUCCAGAUCAAUGAAGGAGGUGAAGAACGACAAAGUGGCUUUCAUUUGGACCCAGUUCUCAGGAUUGAUCUCUUACUUCCGCCGAAGAGCUGAAGAUCCCGAAAAGUUGAAAUCAUGUGUCGCAGAGGCUAUUGCAUUAAAAACAUGUGAUACAAAAACUGCUUCAAAAAAAGCAAAAAGUCAAAUUUGUCCUGAAUUAAAGGAAAUUUUGUGUGAAUUGGAUAAAAAGAUAAAGCAGUUAUAUGGUGCCCUACCUGACAAUUCUAUGCUUAUUGUAUGCACCGGCCAUGGUGAUACUCCUCUAGUACGAAGAUUGCGGAAAAUGCUUCACCAUGAAGAAGAAACAAUAGAUAGCCGGGAAAAUAUUGUCCAAGCUCUGGGAGAUUUACAAGCCCAAGCCGAAGUUGCUCUGUGCUUCUGCUGUGUUAAGCAUUAACUAACUGCAUCUUUGGAUUAAUGUACUGAUGGAUAUGGCUUCAGCCAUUAUAGAAGGGGGGUGGCAAAAGUUCCGGCUAUAUGGUAUCGGACCAUGUUUUCGAUUCAUAAUAUGGCCCUUACUAUUUACACUCAGGGAGACUGUUCAUGCGGGGAAGAACAUUGGCCACUGCCUACGGAAGUGCGGUAAAUGGCAAUAUGACGCACGUGCUCCUGAUCCUGAUGCAGCCAGCCUGACGAAUCCCAAAUACGGGCAGGCUAUUGGGUUUGUUGACCCCAAGCUGUCCUUGGAGAGUUGAAUUCAUUAAUUUAUUUAUGGCUAGACCAGGAUGUUAUGGUUGCUUGUUACUUUCACUGAAUCUUCAAGUGGGUUCGUUGUAUAAAUAAUACUCUCUUCAUUUUUUUAAUCUGUUGCGGUAUAGUUUAAAAAUAAACUAACGAGCGACAAAUAUUGAGAACCAAGGUGGUACACCCUUCGUUCCAGAAUAGUAAUCCCUCCCUCCCAAAAUAGUAUUCAUUUUAGACUUCAUUUUUUAUGUUUAUAUUCAUGUAUGAUAAAUUUAGAUAUAUAUAUACAAAAUACAUACAUUAAUUAUUAUAUGAAUCCUUUAAGAGACUAAGGGAAGGGUGCGUUUAUUUCCCUUUUA